rnacentral:rRNA from 1 species
UGGUGGGUAGUUUGACUGGGGCGGUCUCCUCCUAAAGAGUAACGGAGGAGCACGAAGGUUGGCUAAUCCUGGUCGGACAUCAGGAGGUUAGUGCAAUGGCAUAAGCCAGCUUGACUGCGAGCGUGACGGCGCGAGCAGGUGCGAAAGCAGGUCAUAGUGAUCCGGUGGUUCUGAAUGGAAGGGCCAUCGCUCAACGGAUAAAAGGUACUCCGGGGAUAACAGGCUGAUACCGCCCAAGAGUUCAUAUCGACGGCGGUGUUUGGCACCUCGAUGUCGGCUCAUCACAUCCUGGGGCUGAAGUAGGUCCCAAGGGUAUGGCUGUUCGCCAUUUAAAGUGGUACGCGAGCUGGGUUUAGAACGUCGUGA